UACAGAGGGUGCGAGCGUUAAUCGGAAUUACUGGGCGUAAAGAGCACGUAGGUGGUGGUUCAAGUUGGAUGUGAAAGCCCCGGGCUUAACCUGGGAAGGUCAUCCAAGACUGAGCGACUAGAGUAUAGUAGAGGGAAGUGGAAUUUCCGGUGUAGCGGUGAAAUGCGUAGAUAUCGGAAGGAACACCAGUGGCGAAGGCGACUUCCUGGACUAAUACUGACACUGAGGUGCGAAAGCGUGGGGAGCAAACAGG
rnacentral:rRNA from 1 species